rnacentral:rRNA from 1 species
GACGAACGCUGGCGGCGUGCUUAACACAUGCAAGUCGAACGGAAAGGCCCUGCUUUUGUGGGGUGCUCGAGUGGCGAACGGGUGAGUAACACGUGAGUAACCUGCACUUGACUUUGGGAUAACUUCAGGAAACUGGGGAUAAUACCGGAUAGGAGCUCCUGCUGCAUGGUGGUGGUUGGAAAGUUUCGGCGGUUGGGGAUGGUCUCGCGGCUUAUCAGCUUGUUGGUGGGGUAGUGGCUUACCAAGGCUUUGACGGGUAGCCGGCCUGAGAGGGUGACCGGCCACAUUGGGACUGAGAUACGGCCCAGACUCCUACGGGAGGCAGCAGUGGGGAAUAUUGCACAAUGGGCGGAAGCCUGAUGCAGCAACGCCGCGUGCGGGAUGACGGCCUUCGGGUUGUAAACCGCUUUCGCCUGUGACGAAGCGUGAGUGACGGUAAUGGGUAAAGAAGCACCGGCUAACUACGUG